rnacentral:rRNA from 1 species
GAACGGGAUUUCGGAGCUUGCUCCGAUGAGAGUGGCGCACGGGUGAGUAACGCGUAGAUAAUCUGCCUGAUGAUCUGGGAUAACAGUUCGAAAGGACUGCUAAUACCGGAUAAGCCCACGGAGACCUUGGUCUUUGCGGGAAAAGGGGGGGACCUUCGGGCCUUCCGUCAUCAGAUGAGUCUGCGUACCAUUAGCUAGUUGGUAGGGUAAAGGCCUACCAAGGCGACGAUGGUUAGCUGGUCUGAGAGGAUGAUCAGCCACACUGGAACUGAGACACGGUCCAGACUCCUACGGGAGGCAGCAGUGGGGAAUUUUGCGCAAUGGGGGAAACCCUGACGCAGCAACGCCGCGUGAGUGAUGAAGGCUUCUUGGGUCGUAAAGCUCUGACAGAGGGAAAGAAGUGUAUGGUGGUUAAUACCCAUUGUACUUGACGGUACCCUCAAAGGAAGCACCGGCUAACUCCGUGCCAGCAGCCGCGGUAAUACGGGGGGUGCAAGCGUUGUUCGGAUUUAUUGGGCGUAAAGCGCGUGUAGGCGGUUUUUUAAGUCUGAUGUGAAAGCCCCGGGCUCAACCUGGGAAGUGCAUUGGAAACUGGAAGACUUGAAUACGGGAGAGGGCAGUGGAAUUCCUAGUGUAGGAGUGAAAUCCGUAGAUAUUAGGAGGAACACCGGUGGCGAAGGCGGCUGCCUGGACCGAUAUUGACGCUGAGACGCGAAAGCGUGGGUAGCAAACA